GGCUCUGUAGUGAAAUUCAUGGUGAGUUGCAAGCUCAUCGAUGUACAAUAGUUUUGUGCCGGAGUCU
rnacentral:tRNA from 2 species